rnacentral:rRNA from 3 species
UACGGGAGGCAGCAGUAGGGAAUCUUCCACAAUGGACGCAAGUCUGAUGGAGCAACGCCGCGUGAGUGAAGAAGGCUUUCGGGUCGUAAAACUCUGUUGUUGGAGAAGAAUGGUCGGCAGAGUAACUGUUGUCGGCGUGACGGUAUCCAACCAGAAAGCCACGGCUAACUACGUGCCAGCAGCCGCGGUAAUACGUAGGUGGCAAGCGUUAUCCGGAUUUAUUGGGCGUAAAGCGAGCGCAGGCGGUUUUUUAAGUCUGAUGUGAAAGCCCUCGGCUUAACCGAGGAAGCGCAUCGGAAACUGGGAAACUUGAGUGCAGAAGAGGACAGUGGAACUCCAUGUGUAGCGGUGAAAUGCGUAGAUAUAUGGAAGAACACCAGUGGCGAAGGCGGCUGUCUGGUCUGUAACUGACGCUGAGGCUCGAAAGCAUGGGUAGCGAACAGGAUUAGAUACCCUGGUAGUCCAUGCCGUAAACGAUGAAUGCUAGGUGUUGGAGGGUUUCCGCCCUUCAGUGCCGCAGCUAACGCAUUAAGCAUUCCGCCUGGGGAGUACGACCGCAAGGUUGAAACUCAAAGGAAUUGACGGGGGCCCGCACAAGCGGUGGAGCAUGUGGUUUAAUUCGAAGCAACGCGAAGAACCUUACCAGGUCUUGACAUCUUUUGAUCACCUGAGAGAUCAGGUUUCCCCUUCGGGGGCAAAAUGACAGGUGGUGCAUGGUUGUCGUCAGCUCGUGUCGUGAGAUGUUGGGUUAAGUCCCGCAACGAGCGCAACCCUUAUGACUAGUUGCCAGCAUUUAGUUGGGCACUCUAGUAAGACUGCCGGUGACAAACCGGAGGAAGGUGGGGAUGACGUCAAAUCAUCAUGCCCCUUAUGACCUGGGCUACACACGUGCUACAAUGGAUGGUACAACGAGUUGCGAGACCGCGAGGUCAAGCUAAUCUCUUAAAGCCAUUCUCAGUUCGGACUGUAGGCUGCAACUCGCCUACACGAAGUCGGAAUCGCUAGUAAUCGCGGAUCAGCACGCCGCGGUGAAUACGUUCCCGGGCCUUGUACACACCGCCCGUCACACCAUGAGAGUUUGUAACACCCGAAGCCGGUGGCGUAACCCUUUUAGGGAGCGAGCC